UACGUAGGUGGCAAGCGUUAUCCGGAAUUAUUGGGCGUAAAGAGCGCGCAGGUGGUUGAUUAAGUCUGAUGUGAAAGCCCACGGCUUAACCGUGGAGGGUCAUUGGAAACUGGUCGACUUGAGUGCAGAAGAGGGAAGUGGAAUUCCAUGUGUAGCGGUGAAAUGCGUAGAGAUAUGGAGGAACACCAGUGGCGAAGGCGGCUUCCUGGCCUGCACCUGACGCUGAGAGGCGAAAGCUAGGGGAGCGAACGGGCUUAGAUACCCG
rnacentral:rRNA from 1 species